rnacentral:lncRNA from 10 species
UGCGUCCGUAGGAUGGAGCCCAAAAAUGCCCUCCCAGUUCCAGCCUCUACUGCAGGUUAAACCACUGCCAUUUACAAGGAGAGAUGGCACUGUGCUAAGUUGGACUUACAGAGAUGAAUAAGAUUUGGCCACAUCUUCAAGGAGCUCAGACCUUCAUGGACGUACCAAAUAUAUACAGAACUAACUCUACUGCUUAUCAUAAUGAGAGCUGUGCUAUGGAUAUUUGAAAGUUAGAGAGAUUUAUUUUCAACAGAAUAAUAAAGUCAACUUUCACAAACUGGUGACAGAUGAUCUGGGCCUUGCAGACAGGGGAGGACUGACAGAUUGAGAAGAGUAUUUGGUUAAAAACGGAUCAUAAACUGGUAUAAAUAUCUAAACAAACUCAUGAGAAUGAGCAGAGUCAGACACAAUAAAAUAAUUCAAAGAUAUAUCAGAUAAACCUGGACCCAAAAGUCAUGACUUUUUCUUUUCAGUUAACUCUGAACAAUUUACAAUAACUUCCUCAAUUAUUGUUUGUCUCAUUUUAACAUUUUGUAAUAACACCUAUGUCUCCAUAUUGGUAUGAAGAUUAAAUGAAAAUACAUCUAUGUUAGAUAGUCCCUAAGUUUCUGUCCCUGAUAUAAGUCCACCCUCCCCACCAUCAUGUGAUCACACGCAGGUGCACAUGCACAGAUGUAUACAUGCAUGCCGUUAUGGGGACAGUAAUUGCAAAUAUCAAUACUGUUAUGGUUGUUACUUCAGCCAUUGCACAAGUGUAGACCUCUGGAUCAACACACAUACGUAUGUGUAUGUGUAACAAAUAUAUGGCUAAUAAUGCAUAGGUUUCAUAGCUAUACCUUGAAAUCAAUUUAUUAAAGGGAUGUGUCCUUCCCAUGCUGACUCACCUACUGCGGCCCAAAAGCAACAACGUAAACUGCCCUGGAUAAAACAUCUGCAGACAAGAGAUCUCUAAGCUAAGCUACAGCUUCAUCAAGCAUGGAGUUAUCUCAUUUCAUAGCUUCACACACACAAAGGCGCGCGCACACACACACACACACACACACAGCUCUCAGCUGGAGACCGUCAGGGAAAACAAGUACCAGUGAGACCUGGGGAUCUUCAUUUGAUUUUGUCUACUGGGUGAGGCUGUGUUGAAAACACUUUGACAGAGGGCUCUUCUCUUGGGGCUCAUCAAAUAUUGCUGGUAGAGGGUUUGCUUGCUUUAAAUAUUCCUUUCCUCAGGUAACGAAGAAUACCAUGUAAUUUGUAAUGAUAACUUGGAUAAUGAAUGCACACUGUAGUCAGCCAUUACCAGUGGUAAUUGGUCUUCCUUUCAUCUCCUGUCAAGCAGAGUGGUUAGGAUUAGGACCAAAAGGCAGCUAUCAUCUCUCUCAUUUCCUGACUCAGACAAAAGGCAAAAAAAAAAAGGUGCCUGCUUGUGCUGAUAGGUGUCUGAUCAAAGCGGCUGAAAGCUGUCAGAAGCCAGCCAGCCUCAGCACCUGACUACUCCUUAAUGCAGCUUUGCCUUUGAUGUACAGGCAGUCCAACCGGGGUUCUAUUUAUGUAAAAAAAAAUAAUCAGGAUUGUAAUAGAACAGGAGAAAGUGUCAUUUUCUAUUUUGAUUCCAGUUUUGCAGUCUGACACCUAUAGGAAAUGUGGACUAAUUCUGUCCAGAGUAUGGUGUGUGUGUGUGUGUGUGUGUGUGUGUGUGUGUGUGUGUGUGUAACUCAAUAAAAUAAAAUAUCUUUGAAACUUCAUCAAAUACAUUUGGCAGUGAGCAGAAGUUAGAUUGCUGGUAGAAAGAAAUUAUCCUUCUUGGAAAGUAAAAAAAAAAUGCUUAAGUAAAAUUGCAGCAGUUUUGACAUGUGUAUUUUAUGUUUCAGAAAUUCUACAGGUUAUAGGUUUAUAAAUGGAGAACUGGUCUUGGAUUUAAAUGAAUUGGCAUCGUAUCUCAGACUUCUAGCUUUCUACCCAUGUGAAUUUAGGUGCGUACUAAUCACAUAUGUGUUUUAAGUUUAUCACUGGCUAUAUACAUGGUUACUUUUGUAUAUGCCUGUGCAUUGAAUGAAAAUACCUGGCAUGUGGUUGUUAUAAGCAAUAGACAGUUUUUGGCCAGAGAGCCAGGCAGACAAGUGUUAAUAUCACUUAAGCCCUCUGUGUCUCAAGUUCAAAAUUUCUAAAAUGAGUGAAUAUAAUAUUUGUUUGAAUUAAAGUAUACAAAGCAUGUAUCUCAGUGUCUAAGACAUUGUAAGACACCAAUAAAUGUCCAGUAUUUCUGUUGUUGUUGGUAUUUAUUUUUUAUUAAGGGAUUCUUGAAUUAAUACACCAUCCCUAGGGAAUUGCUGCCCUGUUUUCCUCAGCACUGUGAGCUUCUCCACGAACAAGACCGCUGUCUUUUAUGUCUGGGAUAGUUUGUUGAAUGAGU